GACGAACCGUGCGAACGUUGUUCGGAAUCACUGGGCUUAAAGGGCGCGUAGGCGGGCGAGCAAGUUCGGGGUGAAAUCCCCCGGCUCAACUGGGGAACUGCACAGGAAACUAGCGGGCUUGAGUUCGGGAGAGGGAAGCGGAAUUCCGGGUGUAGCGGUGAAAUGCGUAGAUAUUCGCAAGAACACCAGUGGCGAAGGCGGCUCACUGGCCCGAUACUGACGCUGAGGCACGAAAGCGUGGGGAGCAAACAGG
rnacentral:rRNA from 1 species